CCUACGGGAGGCUGCAGUGGGGAAUAUUGGACAAUGGGGGGAACCCUGAUCCAGCCAUGCCGCGUGUGUGAAGAAGGCCCUCGGGUUGUAAAGCACUUUCAGUGAGGAAGAACGCCUGGUGGUUAAUACCCAUCAGGAAGACAUCACUCACAGAAGAAGCACCGGCUAACUCCGUGCCAGCAGCCGCGGUAAUACGGAGGGUGCGAGCGUUAAUCGGAAUUACUGGGCGUAAAGCGCGCGUAGGUGGCUUGAUAAGCCGGUUGUGAAAGCCCCGGGCUCAACCUGGGAACGGCAUCCGGAACUGUCAAGCUAGAGUGCAGGAGAGGAAGGUAGAAUUCCCGGUGUAGCGGUGAAAUGCGUAGAGAUCGGGAGGAAUACCAGUGGCGAAGGCGGCCUUCUGGACUGACACUGACACUGAGGUGCGAAAGCGUGGGUAGCAAACAGGAUUAGAUACCCCAGUAGUC
rnacentral:rRNA from 1 species